UACGUAGGGUGCGAGCGUUAAUCGGAAUUACUGGGCGUAAAGCGUGCGUAGGCGGUUGGAUAAGACAGGUGUGAAAUCCCCGGGCUUAACCUGGGAACUGCACUUGUGACUGUACGACUGGAGUACGGCAGAGGGGGAUGGAAUUCCGCGUGUAGCAGUGAAAUGCGUAGAUAUGCGGAGGAACACCGAUGGCGAAGGCAAUCCCCUGGGCCUGUACUGACGCUCAUGCACGAAAGCGUGGGGAGCAAACAGG
rnacentral:rRNA from 1 species